rnacentral:misc_RNA from 1 species
GUGAAUCAUCAAAUUUUUGAACGCAAAUUGCACUUUCUGGUAUUCCGGAAAGUAUGCCUGUUUGAGGGUCAGUUAAAUAAAAAUCGGUGUUGUUGCUGCUAUUAGUGGUGAUGCAUCGGAAUUGAUUUGUUCUUUGCCCUUUGGUAUAAGUGCCUUAAAUUUUUUACGAUUUUUGAACGUAUUUAAUUUAUUUACGUACGUUCAUAAUAUCAUAUAUUAGGUGCGUUCAUUCUUAUGAUUCCGCGCCUUUAAUUUUUUCUUUAUUGUACUUCAAUUCUGGUAAGAA